rnacentral:rRNA from 1 species
CGAACGCUGGCGGCAGGCCUAACACAUGCAAGUCGAGCGGCCGUAGCAAUACGGCAGCGGCAGACGGGAGAGUAACACGUGGGAACGCGCCCUUCGGUUCGGGAUAACUCAGGGAAACUUGGGCUAAUACCGGAUACGCCCUUACGGGGAAAGAUUUAUUGCCGAAGGAACGGCCCGCGUCCGAUUAGCUUGUUGGUGAGGUAACGGCUCACCAAGGCGACGAUCGGUAGCUGGUCUGAGAGGAUGACCAGCCUCACUGGGACUGAGACACGGCCCAGACUCCUACGGGAGGCAGCAGUGGGGAAUAUUGGACAAUGGGCGCAAGCCUGAUCCAGCCAUGCCGCGUGGGUGAUGAAGGCCCUAGGGUUGUAAAGCCCUUUCGGCGGGGAAGAUAAUGACGGUACCCGCAGAAGAAGCCCCGGCUAACUUCGUGCCAGCAGCCGCGGUAAUACGAAGGGGGCUAGCGUUGCUCGGAAUUACUGGGCGUAAAGCGCACGUAGGCGGCUUUCUAAGUCGGGGGUGAAAUCCUGGAGCUCAACUCCAGAACUGCCUUCGAUACUGGAGAGCCCGAGUCCGGGAGAGGUGAGUGGAACUGCGAGUGUAGAGGUGAAAUUCGUAGG